CUCCCCCGGCCCCCAGCAGCCACCCCCAGAAACUCACAAAGACGGGCAGCCGAGCAAAGGAACAGUUGUUCCCGGCGAAGGCGCACAUGCACAUGCAGUGAGGCAAUCGAAUCCGAGAAAUAGAGAGAUCCGCAGCACUGCAUCACCGCCCGGGAAGCCUUCCCUUUACAGGUGGGGGUUGGAGGCUGGAACCCACGUCCUGGCACAUUGUAACACGCGUACUUAACUAGAGAACACCGGCCUCCCACAAUAAAAGGCGACGAGCGCUCCUCUGCCGUACACACCAAUGACCUUUUUGCAAGCGUUCGCGUUUCUCUUGGCCAGAUCCCCGGAAGCUGCCGUGAAGCUGAGGGUAAUUACCAUAAUGUGGAUUUAUGUUUAGAGGUGAAUGAUUAUUCUGAGGAAUACAUUCCACAAGAAUAAAAAAAGUGUUGUUAGCACCAAUAUAAAGGAAAUAACUCUGUCGUGUGCAUCGACUUAUUCCUCUUAAAAUUCUCAUUCCUAAAAGAUCUUGUUCUAAAUCCUAUGUUUAAUAAUUUACAACAAAUUCCAUAAAACUGUAUAUAAGAAUGGUGAAUUGUAGA